GACGAGCACGCCGCGUGAGUGAGAGGUUUUCGGAUCGUAAAGCUCUGUUGUAAGUCAAGAACGAGUGUGAGAGUGGAAAGUUCACACUGUGACGGUAGCUUACCAGAAAGGGACGGCUAACUACGUGCCAGCAGCCGCGGUAAUACGUAGGUCCCGAGCGUUGUCCGGAUUUAUUGGGCGUAAAGCGAGCGCAGGCGGUUUGAUAAGUCUGAAGUUAAAGGCUGUGGCUCAACCAUAGUUCGCUUUGGAAACUGUCAAACUUGAGUGCAGAAGGGGAGAGUGGAAUUCCAUGUGUAGCGGUGAAAUGCGUAGAUAUAUGGAGGAACACCGGUGGCGAAAGCGGCUCUCUGGUCUGUAACUGACGCUGAGGCUCGAAAGCGUGGGGAGCGAACA
rnacentral:rRNA from 1 species